UCCCUGGUGGCUCAGAUGGUAAAGAAUCUGCCUGCAAUGCAGGAGACCUGGGUUCGAUCCUGGCUCAGGAG
rnacentral:tRNA from 1 species